AGAGUUAAACAGUACGUGAAAUUGUUGAAAGGGAAACGAUUGAAGCCAGUCGUACUGGCGGGCAAUCAGCCUUUUGGGUGUGAGUGUGUGGGGCGUGAGGAGUUAAUCACCCUCAUCUUUACAUAUUCGUGCACUUUGGGUGUACUUGCUCGUGUGGUAGGUUAACAUCAAUUUUGAUCGUUAUAAAAUGAUCGGAGGAAUGUAGCUUCGAUCUUGUAUUGAAGUGUUAUAGCCUUCGGUAGAUGUGAUGAUUAGGAUUGAGGAUUGCAACGGAUACCCUUCGGGGCUACCUGUCUGAUCUCUGAAAGUUGCUCUGGUGCUGAAAGCUUGCUUAUGGCAUCAAAGUUGACGUUUAACAGGUUAGAACGGGAUAAAUUCGUUAAGGAUGUUGACGUAAUGGCUUUAAACGACC
rnacentral:rRNA from 1 species